AUACUUACCUGGCAGGGGAAAUAACAUUAUCAUGAUAGUGGUUGUCUUAGGACAAGAUUUAUCCAUUGUACUGUCAAUGUUCUGACCCCCACAAUUUUCUUCAAAUUUGAGAGACUCAACUGCAUAAUUUAUGUAAUAGAGGACUGCUUUUACAUUAACCCCAA